GUGCUCACUUCAGCAGCACAUAUACUAAAAUUGGAAUAAUACAGAGAAGAUUAGCAUGACCCUGUGCAAGGAUGACAUGCAAAUUCAUGACGUGUUCCAUAUUAAA
ensembl:snRNA U6 U6 spliceosomal RNA